rnacentral:rRNA from 1 species
AUGAAAAUGGACUCCGCCGACGAGUUCUUUUUCCACAAUUUCCUUUGCGACUCCGACGAUUCGUCGUCCGACGACGAGGAGGGGAUAUUGGCUGCCGUGUUGGUCCAUCACCACCUCAACAACCAGCGGCCGUUGUUCUGUGGCUCCAUUCCGGGCCACCUUCCGGCGUUGAAUCGUAACCGAGAGAGCGGGCAUUUCCUUCUCUGGAAGGACUACUUUGAUACAACAAACCCGUUGUUCAAACAUCACAAAUUCCGCCGCCGGUUCCGUAUGAGUAGGCAUGUUUUCAACCGUAUUAGAGAGGGAAUGGUCGGCUAUGAUGACUACUUCGAGUGCAAAGAGGAUGCCGUCGACAAGAUUGGGGUCUCCUUUUAUCAGAAAUGCACUGCCGCCAUCCGAAUGCUUGAAUACGGAGUGCCCGGUGAUCUCAUUGACGAGUACGUCCGUAUGAGCGAGUCUACAUGCCUAGAGUCCCUGUAUAAUUUCUGCAAGGUUGUGAUUAUUGUGUUUGGCCCUGAGUACUUGAGAGAGCCGACAGCUGCAGAUACAACCCGUUUGCUGGCGAUGAAUGCUAGCAGGGGCUUCCCGGGGAUGCUUGGCAGUAUAGACUGCAUGCACUGGGAGUGGAAGAACUGCCCUUCUGCUUGGCAAGGGCAGUAUAAGGGACAUGUCAGGGCUUGCACUAUCAUACUAGAGCCAAUGGCGUCUCAAGAUCUCUGGAUCUGGCACUUUUUCUUUGGCAUGGCUGGAUCACACAAUGAUAUCAACGUGCUUCAGCGCUCGCCGGUAUUUGCUAGGCUUGCCGAAGGCAACAGCCCACCGGUGAACUUUACUGUCAACGGCCACAACUACGACAAAUGGUACUAUUUGGGUAGCGCUAUCUAUCCUCAGUGGACCACUAUUGUAAAGACAAUACCCAACCCUGUUGGGGAGAAAAGGAAAAGAUUUGCCCAAGAGCAAAGGGAGUGCUAG